AACGCACAUGGCGCCUUUCGAGGCAUGCUUGUUUCAGUGUCUUUCCACCUCACGCCGCCCCCCGGGGCGCGCGCUGGUAUCUGGGCUUCACGACGAGUCUUCGUCGCGCAGCCUCAAGGACGCGAAUGCAGCCCACGCAAUCGGCCCGCAAGCCCCGAGGACUCGGGCGCGGGUAGAGCGCGCGCGGUGUGGUAGUGACUUCGGUCUACAUUCCCCCGUGCGCCUCGCCCGCGCCGAGGUAGAACCUAAACGACCCUCGGACCAGCGCUUCGGUGCACGCGCGUGCGACUGACGCAGAGGCAACUCGCAGGGGGGCGCUCCGGGCGCCCCACCCCCCAUUCACCCUUUGACCUGAAAUCAAGUAAGAGGACCCGCUGAAUUUAA
rnacentral:misc_RNA from 1 species